rnacentral:rRNA from 1 species
AUUGAACGCUGGCGGUAGGCCUAACACAUGCAAGUCGAACGCGAAAGUCCUUCGGGAUGAGUAGAGUGGCGGACGGGUGAGUAACGCGUAGGAAUCUAUCCUGUAGUGGGGGAUAACGUUUCGAAAGGAACGCUAAUACCGCAUACGCCCCAAGGGGGAAAGCGGGGGAUCUUCGGACCUCGUGCUAUAGGAGGAGCCUGCGUCGGAUUAGCUAGUUGGUGAGGUAAAGGCUCACCAAGGCGACGAUCCGUAGCUGGUCUGAGAGGAUGAUCAGCCACACCGGAACUGGGACACGGUCCGGACUCCUACGGGAGGCAGCAGUGGGGAAUAUUGCGCAAUGGGCGAAAGCCUGACGCAGCCAUACCGCGUGUGUGAAGAAGGCCUUCGGGUUGUAAAGCACUUUCAGUGGGGAGGAAAAGCUGGUGGCUAAUAUCCAUCGGCCGUGACGCUACCCACAGAAGAAGCACCGGCUAAUUCCGUGCCAGCCGCCGCAGUAAUAC